rnacentral:rRNA from 1 species
AUACGGAGGGUGCAAGCGUUACUGGGAAUCACUGGGCGUAAAGCGCGCGCAGGCGGCUAUUUAAGUUGGAUGUGAAAGCCUACGGCUCAACCGUAGAACUGCAUCCAAAACUAUUUAGCUAGAGUGUGGGAGAUGUAGAUGGAGUUAGUUGUGUAGGGGUAAAAUCCGUAGAGAUAACUAGGAAUACCAAAAGCGAAGGCAAUCUUCUGGAACACUACUGACGCUGAGGCGCGAAAGCGUGGGGAGCAAACAGGAUUAGAAACCCUUGUAGUCC